AUAUGGAGGGGGAGGAAGAUCAUCAUCAUCACUCAAAGGGAGCCGAACGUAUAACAAUUAGAAGCACAUGUUGCUGCAUCUCAUCUGGACAAAUCUCAAGAGGCUCCAAGCUUUGUUGGCUAAUGAAUAUGUCCUAGAAAGGCAUUUGCCAAAGAUGUUUUCUGCCAGUGGGAUUGAAAAGACCUGGACUUCAUCCUCUGUAGUGAAACUGCUCACAUACUUGAAGAUCAUUAUUAAGAAGCUCUCCAUCUUCUCUUCCCUAAGUUUGACCUCCAAGUCUUUGACUGCCAAGCUCAUUCAUAGCCAGUCAUUCCACAUCCUGUAUUUACACAGUUUGCUUUUCCAACUAGAAUUACUCUGCUCUGCUGAAUAUAUAUUUAUGUUGACCCUAUGUUCGUCUGUGUUAUCUCUCUCUUAAUUUGUAAGUCCCUUUAGGGCAGGAACUGUAUCUACUUCUUUCCACAUGUCCUGAGGAUUUGGUAUGGUGCUAUGAAUUAUGAGAGUGCUUAAUAAAUAUUUUCUGAUA